GACGAACGCUGGCGGCGUGCCUAAUACAUGCAAGUUGAACGCUUUUUCUUUCACCGGAGCUUGCUCCACCGAAAGAAAAAGAGUGGCGAACGGGUGAGUAACACGUGGGUAACCUGCCCAUCAGAAGGGGAUAACACUUGGAAACAGGUGCUAAUACCGUAUAACACUAUUUUCCGCAUGGAAGAACGUUGAAAGGUGCUUUUGCGUCACUGAUGGAUGGACCCGCGGUGCAUUAGCUAGUUGGUGAGGUAACGGCUCACCAAGGAAACGAUGUAUAGGCGACCUGAGAGGGUGGUCGGCCACACGGGGACUGAGACACGGCCCAGACUCCUACGGGAGGCAGCGGUAGGGAAUCUUCGGCAAUGGACGAAAGUCUGACCGAGCAACGCCGCGUGAGUGAAGAAGGUUUUCGGAUCGUAAAACUCUGUUGUUAGAGAAGAACAAGGAUGAGAGUAGAACGUUCAUCCCUUGACGGUAUCUAACCAGAAAGCCACGGCUAACUACGUGCCAGCCGCCGCUGUAAUAC
rnacentral:rRNA from 1 species